UACGUAGGCAGCAAGCGUUGUUCGGAGUUACUGGGCGUAAAGAGUGCGUAGGUGGUGCCCUAAGUCUGUUGUGAAAUCUCCCGGCUUAACUGGGAGGGUGCGGUGGAAACUGGGUGCUUGAGUGUGGGAGAGGUAAGCGGAAUUCCUGGUGUAGCGGUGAAAUGCGUAGAGAUGUGGAGGAACACCAGUGGCGAAGGCGACUCUUUGGCCUGUAACUGACGCUGAGGCGCGAAAGCGUGGGGAGCAAACAGG
rnacentral:rRNA from 1 species